rnacentral:rRNA from 1 species
AAUGAACGCUGGCGGCGCGCCUAAUACAUGCAAGUCGAGCGAGAAGACGUAGCAAUACGUUUGUAAAGCGGCGAACGGGUGAGGAAUACAUGGGUAACCUACCCUCGAGUGGGGAAUAACUAGCCGAAAGGUUAGCUAAUACCGCGUACGCUUCUUGGACUUCGGUUCAGGGAGGAAAGCGAUGCCGAGGGUAUCGCGCUCUUGGAUGGGCUCAUGUCCUAUCAGCUUGNGGUGAGGUAACGGCUCACCAAGGCUUCGACGGGUAGCUGGUCUGAGAGGACGAUCAGCCACACUGGCACUGCGACACGGGCCAGACUCCUACGGGAGGCAGCAGUAAGGAAUAUUGCGCAAUGGGCGAAAGCCUGACGCAGCGACGCCGCGUGGGGGAUGAAGGUCUUCGGAUUGUAAACCCCUUUCGGGUAGGGAAGA